AGAGCUGUUGUUCCACCACCACAAGUAACGACAUGAACCGAGACACAGACACCUGGGUGAGCAGGCUCAUCCCUGCGCACAGUGGGGCGGGAAGGAUGGGGGUUGGGAGAUGGAUCAGGGGAAAGCUGAACUUUUUCUUUGGGAACAAGGAAACUAGUAGAAUCAUAGGAGAAAACUGAGGCUUGGGGAGAGGAGGUCACAUUUCAAAGGUCACCUAGCCAGUAAGUUGAAAGUUCUGGAUUCAAACCCAGGAAGUCUCAACACAGAGCCCCAUCCCUCCACCAUCUAACAAGCCAGAUAUUGGCCUGUCUCUCUGGAGAAAGCCUCAGCAGGAGACAGUUUGAUCCUUUGACAUUGCUGUGUGUGGAUAUGAGGUCUGGGGAUACUGCAGCCACCUCACAAUAAGCUUGUGCAUGACACUGGUGCAGGGGUGGGAAUGGCCAGGCGAAUCACAGAGACCGCUGGAUAAAGCCAAUCCUGAAGCUUCCUGCUAUGUGGGCCAACAGAUGUCCUUAUUGUUCCAACAGUCUGAGAGCUCUUACUGUAGCAGGUCGAUGGCGACUGGCACUCCUAACCCUCCAUCCUUAACAGGCCAUUUUGCAAAAGGACGGGAGAUUUGUUGUUUUCCAGACACCUAAGAUCAAACCUUAAGGUACUCUUUUGCCUUUCCCUGAUUGGUUUCAAUGAUUAUUUCUGGGCCAAUCACUGACUGGCCAGACAGCCUCAUGCUCUGGGUGGAAACAAAAGGGAACAUGAUUUUUAGCACGCUGUGAGGUUUUCAUAAAGUGGGGAUGGAGCUGGUUGUUGAGGGGAGGCGGGGAUUCCUAUGUAAGUCACAGCUUAGGAAAAUAGAGCAUACUCCAUGUUUUACAAGUACCACGGGAUUUAAAACAGAGCAUUAGAUGCUUCUAAAACUACAGUAAGGGGCAGAGGGAAAUAAGAAAGGUCACAACUAAUAUUCGUAUGCUGCUUGUUUUCAAGGAAACAGGAAGGUGGAGGGCCCUAGGAAACUGCUGGCAGUGACAGAUACCUUCAGUACUGUGGUGGGUGAGACACAGGAAAAUGCCUAGAGGCCUCUCAAAGUCUCACGUCUACUGAAGUUCAUUAUAUCUUAUUGCCGUUUCCAAAGGAGCAGUGAUUCUCUGUCUCUCUAUCAAUCAUCUAGCUACCUAGUUACCUUCCUACUUACCUAUCUAAUUCUGGUCUUCCAAAACUUGUGUAAAUUCCUCACACUGGCAGACCC